rnacentral:lncRNA from 1 species
AGAUUUGAUCAUCACGCGGCGCCGGUGAUGGAUUGGUUGAUUCAUGAGCUCUCUGGAUUCAUGGAUUCUAGGAAGAAGAAGAUCACGGUGGAUGGAAGAUUGACCCUUAUGAUGCAUGCAUGAGGACGACUAUUUAAUUUGGGAGCUAUAUGUAUGUAAGAUAAGAUUCCAAUUGUGUGUCGUGUGUCUUAGGCUGUUCUGUCAUCAUGUUGCGUACUUAAGCUAGCUAUAUACAAUUGCCUGGUCAAAUGUUGGUACGUACGUAGAAAUCAAAUAGUUGUGCACGCAUGGGAUCGAGGACGAUGCAUACAUGUAAUAAUAAUAAGUUCAGAGUGAAUUCCACUUUUUAUAUAUCUCCCAUUUGUAAACUUUUUACCCCAUUUAAAACCCCCAGAUUGUUGCAUUGGGUCAAGCUUUACCCCAUUCAACAAUUUCCCUCGACUUUGACUAGUUAGGCCACUCGUCAUGUUUUUAGAGGAAAGGCAUACGCUUGACUUUAUAAAUAAUUUAUAAAUAAAGCCACCUGACAGAGUACAUCGAAACCACACAUACGAAAAAAGACGGCCACAACCACACGCAAGGACAAAGUACGGAGAUACACAACAUCACAGCCAAACAUCAACAACACGCAGGCCGGAUAAGUGACAUGAAGCACCACCUAGGCCACUACCUAGAGCAAAAGGAGGAUCGAAGACAACUAGCUAGCUGGGACCUGCUGCGAAAUAGAAGAAGCCGAAGCCCGAAUUUUGCCGCACUGGAGGUCGAACGCACCAUGAUCAUCAACCUUAGUCAAUAAUCUCCACCGCUGCAGAAACAUACAAGCUUUAAAUAAGCAAUUAACAGGCUUAGCAAGGAAGAUAUGCUCAAUGGUAAACUUGUUCCUAGUCAUCCAUAAUGACCAGCAAAUCGUGGCAAAACCAAUUCAGAACAUGCGUUCGGUAAUCCCAGAAAGGCCAGAUGCCAAGGUUCUGAGCUUCCAGAAGGAGGUGGGGUGCCAAGUGACACCCAGCCAAGAACGAAUACAACACCAAACCAUCCUGGCCAGAGUACACAACUGAAAAAGAUAUGAUUCGUAUCCUCCACAGCGCCACAUAAUGCACAAGUCACCGAGCUAGGCCCAUUACGCUUAUGAAUAUGGUCAGCAGCAGGAAGUCGACCCCUAAAGGCUUGCCACAAGAAGAUCUUAAUUUUUGGGGGUCUAUGGGCACGCCAGAUGGGGUGGAACUUAGUAGUAGGAACCCCAGAAAUAAGUCUAGCAUAUAAGGACUUAACCGAAAAGCGACCAGUGGCUGAAUGGGGCCAAAUCACCGAGUCCUCAUUCUCCAAGAGCACGGGGAUGAGGGAAACAAGGCACUGCUAAUCAUCAAACUCUUCUGGGGAAAGAGAACGACAGAAAGCAAAGUCCCAAUUAUUAACAGAGAGCUCAAAGAUCGAGAUCUCCGGGUCCGAAUAGUAAGAGAAAAGCGUAGGGAAAGCCACAGCAAUAGCAGAGUUACCACACCACCAAUCCGUCCAUAAUCUAACGGAUUUACCAUUGCCCACUACAAACUUGACGUGCUCUUUAAAGAUAGGGUGCAGUUUAACAAGGUCCUUCCAAAACUGGGAUCCUCCCUGGGCUCCCGCGAACAUAGGGCUAGACUAAGGAAAAUACUUAGCUUUAAGGAUAGAGAACCACAGGACUCCAUCCCACUAGUCAUGAUUUUCCACCACCACUUGAUGAUAAGGCACUUAUUCAUGACCGAGAUGUUAAGAAUUCCCAACCCCCCAAGGUUUUUGGGUCUACAAAUGGACUUCCAUUUGACCAUCCCGUAUUUACGUAUCCGCGGCAUUCCAAUAGAAGGCACCCCUAUGCUUAUCAAACCCACAGUGGGGUGCCAGCAGAAAGGAGAUAGAAGCCCAUAAUAAACACCGGCAAGGAAGAUAAGCAGGCAUUGAUGAGACACACUUUGCCAGCAUUUGUGUUAUAUCUGUCCCUCCAAGGCAUAACUCUAUUACCGACCUUGGACACAGUAGGAGCGAAUUCCUUAGCAAAUAUUCUGGCCGGAGAGAUAGGAAGGCCCAAGUACUUAAAGGGAAAGGAGCCCAACGAACAAUUUAAGAGCUGAGAGACCCGCAAAGCCUCCGCCUCCGAUGCACCAGUCACAAUAACCUCACUCUUAGAAAAGUUAAUAUUGAGACCCGAGAGAGAUUCAAAACAAAGCAAAAGAAAUUUGAGAUGGGCAAUGCAAACAUCAUUCUGCUCAACCAUGAUAAUCGUAUCAUCUGCAUAUUGGAGGUGGGUAACACCCUCUGGAAUUAGUGGGAGAUGACAGGAGAGAUGUGCCCAGCCGUAGCCGCCCUAGAUAAGAUACAUGAAAGUGCAUCCGCGACGAAGUUAAACAAGAGGGAGGAGUAUGGAUCUCCUUGCCACAGGCCCCUACCAUUGGCAAAGAAGUUGCUAAUCUUUCCAUUAACCGAGACCUAUGUGUGACACCAGUAACCAGCUGCAUGACCCUAUGCACAUAGGCACCAUCAAAUCCUUUGGCGAGGAGAACCUGACGGAGGAAAUCCCAACUAACCGAAUGGUAGGCUUUCUCGAAAUCCAAUUUCAAGAUAAUUGCCUUAGAUUUACGAGCCCUACGGUCAUGAACAAAUCUCGUGGAGGCACAUGAUACCAUCAAGGAUAAAUCUUCCUUUAACAAAAGCCGACUGGAAGGGGCUGAGUACCCUGUGGGCAGUGGGGGAGAGGCGUAGAGCAAAACCCUUGGCAAGAAAUUUAGCAAAGUUGUUGAUGAGUUCGAUCGGUCUGAAUUGAGAAAUGAGGUCAACACCUUUGAGCUUAGGAAUAAGAGAGAUAAUAGCAUAGUUAAGUCUAGAAAUGUCCACGGUACCCGAACAAAAACCCUGAAUGACAUUGUAAACCAAGGAUCAAUGACACGGCUAGAACUUCUUAAAGAAGGGGAUAGAAAAACCAUCAGGGCCCGAAGCCGAGUUGGGGUUAGUAGAACGAAUAAUAUGAACAAUCUCCUCCUCGGAGAAAGGCACGAGGAGCGCCUCAUUUUCCUUCCGGGACACCCUCCCCGAAGCGUCCCACGUAGAAGGCAAAAUCGAGAAGCCAGAGGCAGGUUUAGGAGAAAGAAGAGAGGAAAAGAAAUCCACCACGUGGGAAAGAAUAAGGUUUUGAUCCGAUACUCUGGUGCCAUCAAUAACAAGACUAUCAAUCGCGCAAUGGCGCCUUCUACCAUUAGCGAUAGCAAAGAAGUAGGCAGUGGGAGAGUCUCCCUUAAGCGUCCAAUUCAGGGAUCCCCUUUGCCUUCAGUAGAUCUCAGCAUGUCUGUGCAGCUGCACCAAGGCCUCCUCCAGAUCGUACCUAAGUUGCCACUCGUUCGCAGACAAACCACGCCCAUCAGCCAACACAUGUAAAGCCGAAAUCUGGUCCAGCAGACCAGACUUACGCCUACGGGCCUCAGCAGCCCUGUUCCGAGCCCAGCCACGGAAGAAUUUCCUAAGGGAAUACAAACAAUGGUGCCAAUCAUCCAUAGGCCUGAAGGAGCGCCUAUUAGGGGCAAGUAAGGAGGAGAUCUUAUUGGAAAUUAGAUUGCAAAUGCCCUCAACCAACAGCCAGGAAGCAUCGAACUGGAACCGAGACGUCAACGGAGGGGAGUCCAGGCCCGCAUCUUGGAUAAGGGGAGAAUGAUCGGAGCCAAUAAUGGCCCUCAUUUUCAAAGUAGCAUGAGGGAAUAGAGAAUCCCAUCUACAGCAGACAAAAACACGGUCCAAGACCGACCUAACAGAGUCGAUCUGAUGGCUAGUCUAGCUGAAACGAGCACCAACCCGAGGAAGUUCACGAAGAGCACAGUCCCGUAUGAACCCAUUGAAAGAAUCCGCGAGAGGCCAAGAAAAGUGACUGCUGCUCUUGUCACUAGGAGAACGGAGCAGGUUAAAAUCUCCCCCAAUUAACAUUGGGAGAGAGCAUGACUCAAUUUUAUUCAAAAUCUCAUCAAGAAAGAGGGGGGAUAGAGAGUGGUCCGCAGGACCGUAGACCACCAAAACUUCCCAAAGAGAGUUAAGCUGUCGAUGAAAUAAAACAGAACUCGCCCAAAAGACACCAUGAUCAAAGGCAACAAAGUAAAAAACGUCCCUCUUGGAUCCAAUAAGGAUACCACCCGAGUGUCCAGAAGAAGGUAAAUAGUGCCAAUCAAAUCUAUCGGCCCCCGCCACCGCAGAAAACUCAUUAGAAGAAAAGGAUUCCUUGAAAGUUUCAACAAGCCCAAUCAAGUCUACAUUCUCACCUCGAACAAUAUCUCUAAUUUGAUCCCAACGCCCUGGAGCGCCGAAACCUCUAAUAUUCCAGAAUAGGGCUCUCAUUUUCAGAAAGAUUUGAAUGCGAAGGCUCGACCUGCACGGGGCCACGCCGUAUAGCAGAAGCCGAAGGAUCCUAGCCUCUACCAGAAUUCUCCACCAAAGGCACGGCCGCCGCGGGGGCAGGAGCACGAGAGGCGGCGGCCUCCUUGGCCUUAGCAAUGGCAACUUGCGCGAUCUCAUUAGCCCGAACCAAAGAAAGGAUAGAAGCAGGAGAACCAACAGCGUCAUGAAAAGUAACCCCAACAUCCGGCAGUACCUUAACUAAGUGUGAGUCAGGAAGAGACGAAAGCUACUCCGCAUGCGCAGCCACCGGCUCGCCACUGUCCCUAACCCUGCGCCCCUUCCUAGCCGUGGAGGCCGGAGAGCGAAUCGACGGAGUGCGUGCGGUAGGCGAAGGCAUGGCAGCACCCGAAGCAGAACCAGAAGCCGCACCCAGAUCCGCGUCCAGCCGACGACAUAGCCGAGUGAUCGACUGCUUGGAGCCAGACGACGCCCUACUCUUGGCCGAGAACUUCUAAACCGAGGACUUCUUCUUCUUGCUCACAGGAACAUCGACUCGAGGGGGGAGGGAGGCAGGUCCUCUUGCCCACUGUUCAUGUUGGUGUUAUCUUUUGGAUGCCAACUCGAAAGCGCAAACUAGUUAUGCGAGUCCUCGCUGACCACACAACCAAACUUGCAUCCCCAUCCACCGGCACAACCCACAACCCUGCCCGAACUCAUUUGACCAUACGUUAGACCCACUCUGUGACUGCACCAACUCACUUGACCACACAUAGACCCACUCUGUGAGGCCACGAGCAAUGGGUUGGCGCUAAAUACAAGGCAGCAAGCAGGAGCAGUGAGGCGACGACGGAGCUGCCGGCAGUGAUCACCGGAUUCGCCACUGAGACAAGGGGUUGAUGGUCGGGUUACAAGGUAGGAAGGACAAACCUUGUUGGUUUACCCUUCCUAGUUGAAUAUUGGUCACAUAAGCUAUACAUGUCCACUUAACAAGUGGAUCUAGCUUGUCAAAACUUGCGCAAAGUGUUAAAUUGGAUUAAAUUCGACACACUACGACAAAUUUGAGGUAAGAGUUGGCUGGAAAUUUUAAAUGAUGCAAGCACUAUCUCAAAUGUGCAAAGAUAGGGUAAGAUGCUAUACCACGACUAUAUCUAACUAUUUGAAAUAAUAGUUCUAUUCGCCAAAAUUUAUAUUCCCCAAACACCACUUUGCCGUUUCUAUCUCUCUCUCCGUUGUUGGAUGUUGGUCCCCUUCCAUGUCUUCUUUACGACAUACUUAAGUGUAAAUUUGAGCAAAAUUAGAAAAAAAUCAGCAUAUCAAAGGGUAGUGUUGGACGAUCUAUUUCUCCUUCUUUAUAUAUGUUCUAAAAACGUGCAUAUAUCGCAUGCGACUAUAGCUUGUCUAGUUUGAAAAAUAUACAACUGAUCUGUUAACCGACAUAGUUGUUUGGAAACUCGAUUAACCAUUAGAUAUCAGGAAUUAAUGUUCGGCCGUCGAUUUAACUAGAAAUAACAACUUCUCCAUCGGGUUAGACAAUUCUAUUGAUCAAUAUAUAAUACGGAGGGAAAUACAUGUGAUAACAUUUUAGAGACUAAAAGGUAGGCCAUGCCACCUUUAUUUAGGAGAAAGACACUCACUUUAUUCCUCGAAUAAAAUGUUUAUAGGUAUUACAUUAGGAUUAUUCCGGUUCAAAAAUCAGACAUUGCGACCCUAAGGUAGAGAAAGAGUGUGUUACGCUAAGCUAUUAUCCUCAGCAAUUAAAAGGCGUCCUUCAUGAACAAAGGAGCAAGAAAUAAAAGAUAAAGCUUGGUGGUUGAUCUCGUGGAUGAUGUUUGCAUUACUUCGUGAAGAGCCCUUUUUAUCAGACCAGUAACCACACUUUUGAAGUACAUGUUCAAACAUUCUCAAAAUUUUGCAGACACACAUCAAUGUUUGAUGUACAACCUCAAAAUGUUUCAGCCCCUAAUUCAACUCACAUUAAUAGAAACAAAAAAGACAAAAUUGCAUGUGAAUAGUGUCACAUUCGGUUUUGUCUUUUUUGAAUCUCCAUAGUUUUGAGCUGAUUUUUUUUGGAGUUGUAGACAUACCCCACAUGGAUGUUGCCAAAUAAUUUCAGAUUUUUCUGAAAUGUUUAAAUUUUUUUUGGGGUUGAUAUCACGAUCUCACCUAAAUGUGAGAUCUUAUACAAGUCUUCCCCACAAUUUGUGGCAAUCAACCCUGGACAACAGUAGGUCUGCAGCCAAAGAGAGCCCUUCACACCAUGCCAUUGUCUCAAGUAUGUCGGGAUCAUUAAGCCCUUCAAUCAUCACUGCUGAAGAGCCUAGGUAGGAACCAUAUCCCUCCCGCGCCGCCACCCAUGAGGCGGUCGGGGUGGGCUCCUCGAUUCCCUCCUCUAGCCCCCCUCUGCUUCGCUACUCCUCCCUCGCCGCCUCCAGUGGGAGCGGCUGGGCGAAGCCCGACCGGCGCCGGCAGGGUUCGGUCUUCCUCUCGCGCGGUGGGGUGGCGCGGGCCGCCUUCUUCGGGCCAGGCGCGGUGCGAGCGCGAGGUACCGCGGCGCAGCGGCGCGCCGGUGUGCUGCUUCAGCAUGGGCGUGGCAAGGGAGAGAAGGGCCGUGUGGCGGCCUGAUCUGGCUGGUUGGUGGCGCCGGCCGCGGCGGGGUGGGCCUGAGGCGGAUGAUCUGCCUCCCGGUGGGAGGGGCCGAUAGCGGUGCGUACUGGCUGAGUUCAAGACGGGAUCUCCCUGGUCCAGAUCCUGGACGAAGGUGGGCAGUGCGUGAUGGCCAUCCUGUGAGCUCUCUUGGCUGCAUGUGAGGGCUGGCUUUGUUGUUCUUGUUGAUGGGUGUGCGGGCGUUCGUGUCCUCACAUCGAGCUGCUUGGGCGGCCACGGUCAGGGGACACGAGGGUGCGUCCGAGGGGAGUUUUCAGGAGGGAUGGGAUGGGCGACCGAUGUGGUGGGGCCACCUGUCACUGAUGUAGGGGUGCACCGGCCUAGAUGCGUUCGCUCUUCCUCCCCCUCUUUCCUCGGCUGGGUGCCUUCUAGUGAAGCUCUGGCGAUGUUCAAGGCAGGGCGGUCGUUGGCUGCUCCAUCGGUCAACAGAUAUAGGCCAGGCCAAAGCCAAGGCCGUUGGGUGUUCAUGGGGUAGCUGAUGACCCACAAGUAUAGUGGAUCAAUCAUAGUCCUUUCGAUAAGUAAGAGUGUCGAACCCAACGAGGAGCAGAAGGAAAUGACAAGUGGUUUUCAGCAAGGUAUUGUCUGCAAGCACUGAAAUUAUAAGUAACGAGUAGUUUGACAGCAAGAUAAUUUGUAACGAGCAAGUAACGGUGACGGUAACAAAAGUGCAGCAAGGCAGACCAAUCCUUUUGAGGCAAAGGACAGGCCAAAACAGUCUCUUAUAAUAAGCAAAGCGUUCUUGAUGGUACACGUGAAUUUCAUCUAGUCACUUUCAUCAUGUUG